GAGUAUGAGAAGGGAACCGGACGAACUGAAACAUCUAAGUAAUCCGAGGAAGAGUAAUCAAACGAGAUACCCCAAGUAGCGGCGAGCGAACGGGGCAGAAGCCCAAACCGCGGAAGGAAACUUUUGCGGGGUAGAGGGCCAUCAAUAAAACAAGAACCUUUAGCUGAAUCUGUUGGGAAACAGAGCCGAAGACAGUGAAAGCCUGGUAAGCGAAAGAGGGACUUGCGGAGAUGGUACCGGAGUACUGCGGGACACGAGAAAUCCCGUAGGAAGCAGGGGGGACCACCCUCCAAGGCAAAACACAGAUAUCGACCGAUAGCGAAUAGUACCAUGAGGGAAAGGUGAAAAGCACCCCGGGAGGGGAAUGAAAAAGAACCUGAAACCGUAUGUUUACAAGCAGUCGAAGACCGCUUAAUAAUAAGGUCAACGGCGUGCCUAUUGAAGAAUGAACCGGCGAGUUAUGAGGUCUGGCGAGGUUAAGCAGGAAAUGCGGAGCCGAAGCGAAAGCGAGUCUUAAUAGGGCGAAAGUCGGAUUGCAUAGACCCGAAACCACAGUGAUCUACCCAUGUCCAGGUUGAAACACAGGUAAAAAUGUGUGGAGGACCGAACCUAUAUCCGUUGAAAAGGGUUAGGAUGAGGUGUGGGUAGGGGUGAAAUUCCAAUCGAACGUGGAGAUAGCUGGUUCUCCCCGAAAUAGCUUUAGGGCUAGCCUCAGGGAAGAGAUUACAGGCGGUAGAGCACUGAUCAGGGGCGGGACCUACCCGGUUACCAAACCUAGUCAAACUCCGAAUGGCUGUAAUUAUACCUGGGAGUCAGACUACGACUUAUAAGGGCCGUAGUCAAAAGGGAAACAGCCCAGACCAUCAGCUAAGGUCCCCAAUGCCGUGCUAAGUGGAGAAGGAUGUGGCAUUUCAUAAACAACCAGGAUGUUGGCUCAGAAGCAGCCACCAUUUAAAGAGUGCGUAAUAGCUCACUGGUCGAGAGACGCUGCGCCGAAAAUGUCCGGGGCUCAAGCACGGAACCGAAGCUAUGGCAGACGCAAGUCUGGGUAGGGGAGCGUUCUUAUGAGGAAGAAGCAUGACCGUAAGGACAUGUGGACACAUAAGAAGUGAGAAUGCCGGUAUGAGUAUCGAAAAGAAAGGUGAGAAUCCUUUCCACCGAAAGCCCGAGGGUUCCUGAUGGAAGAGCGCGUCCAAGUGAGUAUGUAGAUACAGAGGCAAAUCCCUGUAUCUGAAAGCAGAGACAUGAUGGGGAGUUAAAGGAAACUUUGACGAACUGAUGGAUCCCACACUGCCAAGAAAAACUUCUAGCCAGACAAUAUCCGCCCGUACCGUAAACCGACACAGGUAGGCGGGGAGAGAAUCCUAAGGUGCGCGGGAAAACCCUCGUUAAGGAACUCGGCAAAUUGCAUCCGUAACUUCGGGAGAAGGAUGACCCUGAGUAAAAGAAGAGCAGAAACGCUUAGAGGAGAAAAGGGUGGCAGAAAAGAGGCCCAAGCAACUGUUUACCAAAAACACAGGUGCCUGCGAAAGCGAAAGCUGAAGUAUAGGUGCUGACGCCUGCCCGGUGCCGGAAGGUUAAGGAGAGAGGUCAGCUAAGGCGAAGCUUCGAACUGAAGCCCCGGUGAACGGCGGCCGUAACUAUAACGGUCCUAAGGUAGCGAAAUUCCUUGUCGGGUAAGUUCCGACCCGCAUGAAAGGCGUAAUGAUUUGUUUUUCGGAAGAUACAGAGUCAAUGUUGGGAUACCACCCUUCUGUUGCUGGGCUUCUAACGCAAGGAGUAACGACCCUGCGGACCCUCUCAGGUAGGCGGUUUGACUGGGGCGGUCGCCUCCGAAAGAGUAACGGAGGCGCCCAAAGGUUCCCUCAGGCCGGACAGAAACCGGCCAAAGAGUGCAAAGGCAGAAGGGAGCUUGACUGCGAGACCCACAAGUCGAGCAGAGACGAAAGUCGGGCUUAGUGAUCCGGUGGUACUGAGUGGAAAGGCCAUCGCUCAACGGAUAAAAGCUACCCUGGGGAUAACAGGCUAAUCUCUCCCAAGAGUUCAUAUCGACGGGGAGGUUUGGCACCUCGAUGUCGGCUCAUCACAUCCUGGGGCUGGAGUAGGUCCCAAGGGUUGGGCUGUUCGCCCAUUAAAGUGGUACGCGAGCUGGGUUCAAAACGUCGUGAGACAGUUUGGUUCAUAUCCAUCGCGGGCGCAAGAAGUUUGAGGGAAGCUGCUCCUAGUACGAGAGGACCGGAGUGGACGGAUCAACGGUGUACCGGUUGUCACGCCAGUGGCACGGCCGGAAAGCCGCAUCCGGAAGGGAUAAACGCUGAAAGCAUCUAAGCGUGAAGCCCCACC
rnacentral:rRNA from 1 species